GACGAACGCUGGCGGCGUGCUUAACACAUGCAAGUCGAACGGAAAGGCCCUGCUUUUGUGGGGUGCUCGAGUGGCGAACGGGUGAGUAACACGUGAGUAACCUGCCCUUGACUUUGGGAUAACUUCAGGAAACUGGGGCUAAUACCGGAUAGGAGCUCCUGCUGCAUGGUGGGGGUUGGAAAGUUUCGGCGGUUGGGGAUGGACUCGCGGCUUAUCAGCUUGUUGGUGGGGUAGUGGCUUACCAAGGCUUUGACGGGUAGCCGGCCUGAGAGGGUGACCGGCCACAUUGGGACUGAGAUACGGCCCCGACUCCUACGGUAGGCAGCAGUGUGGAAUAUUUCACAAUGCGCGGAAGCCUGAUGCUGCAACGCCGCGUGCGGGAUGACGGCCUUCGGGUUGUAUACCGCUUUCGCCUGUGACGAAGCGUGAGUGACGUUUAUGGGUAAAGAAGCACCGGCUAACUACGUG
rnacentral:rRNA from 1 species